UCAUUUAUCUUUUUUAUCUUUUUUUUUUUAAUUUUUUUUAUUUUUUUUUUUUUUUUUUUCUUUUUCUUUUUUCG
rnacentral:ribozyme from 1 species